rnacentral:rRNA from 1 species
GGAUGCGAUCAUACCAGCACUAAUGCACCGGAUCCCAUCAGAACUCCGCAGUUAAGCGUCUUGGGCGAGAGUAGUACUAGGAUGGGUGACCUCCCGGGAAGUCCUCGUGUUUGCAUCCC